rnacentral:rRNA from 1 species
AUUGAACGCUGGCGGCAUGCCUUACACAUGCAAGUCGAACGGCAGCGGGGGAGAAGCUUGCUUUUCCUGCCGGCGAGUGGCGAACGGGUGAGUAAUACAUCGGAACGUGCCCUGUAGUGGGGGAUAACUAGUCGAAAGAUUAGCUAAUACCGCAUACGACCUGAGGGUGAAAGUGGGGGACCGCAAGGCCUCAUGCUAUAGGAGCGGCCGAUGUCUGAUUAGCUAGUUGGUGGGGUAAAGGCCUACCAAGGCGACGAUCAGUAGCUGGUCGGAGAGGACGAUCAGCCACACUGGGACUGAGAAACGGCCCAGACUGCUACGGGAGGCAGCAGUUGGGAAUUUUGGACAAUGGGCGAAAGCCUGAUCCAGCAAUGCCGCGUGUGUGAAGAAGGCCUUCGGGUUGUAAAGCACUUUUGUCCGGAAAGAAAUGGCUCUGGUUAAUACCUGGGGUCGAUGACGGUACCGGAAGAAUAAGGACCGGCUAACUACGUGCCAGCCGCAGCGGUAA